rnacentral:snoRNA from 1 species
UGGGCUCUUAUACACAUUUCGAGGUGCUCAACCCGAUGCUUUCUGUUACUCCUUCUGUUCAGGUGAUUUAUUUCCAGAAGUUUCGUUUUCUUUUAGUAUUUUUAUUUCUUUUCGAAGUGAUGAGAAUGCUUGGAACUGCUAGUGUUCUACUAGUGGAGAGACUUUUGGAGAACUUGCCUAUGGAUUUGAUGGAUGGCGGAGCAUUGAACCCCCACGCUCCCUAUAUGAAAUAAGCUCAAGAUGCCCAGAAUUAUUUCGUGCCCUUUUUCGCUAACAAUGACUGAUAUCUUCUUCCACAGUUCAUAAGUUUGAUAGUAGAUGGGCAUACAUAU